AUGCCUACGGGACGCAGCAGUAGGGAAUUUUCGUCAAUGGGCGCAAGCCUGAACGAGCAAUGCCGCGUGAAUGAAGAAGGUCUUCGGAUUGUAAAGUUCUUUAGUCAGGGAAGAAGUCAAUGACGGUACCUGAAGAAUAAGCUCCGGCUAACUACGUGCCAGCAGCCGCGGUAAUACGUAGGUGGCGAGCGUUAUCCGGAAUGAUUGGGCGUAAAGGGUGCGUAGGCGGCCUGCUAAGUCUGGAGUGAAAGGUACCGGCUCAACCGGUACAGGCUCUGGAAACUGGCGGGCUAGAGAGCAGGGGG
rnacentral:rRNA from 1 species